CGACUUUUAACUUAUUAUAAUCGUUGGGUCCACCCGCCAAAACUAAUUUUCUUCAACAUCUGAUCUUUGUCUUGACGACGACUUUGAAUGCAAACCCAUUGCUUCCCCCAAAUUCACUUCUCUGAAUUAUUACAAACCCUUAAUCUGAGUGUGCGUUGUGUAAUUUUUUGAAUUGUUAUGGGUUUCUUGUUGGGACCCACAAUUCCCGUCGACUGGGAGUCGGAGUACUUCCCUCACUACCAAGAUUUUGUGGUCCUUCCCUUCUUCAUUCUGUUCAUCCCAUCAAUUCGGUUCAUACUUGACAGAUUUGUCUUCGAGAAAUUAGCUAGAAGACUAAUUUUGGGGAAGGGACAUGCUCUGAUGAAUCUUGAGACACGUGUUCAGAGGAAGAAACUCAAUAAAUUCAAAGAAUCAGCUUGGAAAUGCAUUUUUUAUCUUUCUUCAGAACUUUUUGCUCUUUCUGUUACCAUUGGUGAACCCUGGUUCACUGAUACCAAAUACUUUUGGGUGGGGCCUGAAGAUCAGGUUUGGCCUGAUCAGAAAAUGAAAUUGAAAUUGAAGGGAUAUUACAUGUAUGCUGCUGGAUUCUAUAUAUACUCCAUCUUCGCUUUGGUUUUUUGGGAAACAAGGCGUUCCGACUUUGUGGUGUCAAUGGGUCAUCAUGUAGCGACUGUCAUUCUCCUCGUGUUUUCUUACAUAUUCAGAUUUGCUCGAGUUGGUUCGGUUAUUUUAACCAUCCAUGAAGGAUGUGAUGUCUUUGUUGAAUUAGGGAAGAUGUCCAAAUACAGUGGCUUUGAAAUGAUGGCUAGCUUUUCUUUUGCUGCUUUUGUAUUGUCUUGGCUUACACUUCGUUUGAUCUAUUAUCCAUUCUGGAUAUUGUGGAGUACAAGCUAUGAAGUUCUUUUGACACUGGACAUGGAUAAGCACAUGGUGGAUGGAACAAUAUACUAUUAUUUGUUUAAUACUUUUCUAUUCAGCUUGCUCGUUAUUCACAUUUAUUGGUGGCGGUUGAUGUUCUCAAUGCUCAUAGAACAAAUCCGAGCUAGAGGCCAGAUUGGUGAUGAUGUGCGAUCUGAUUCUGAAAGUGACGAUGAACACAUUGAUUGACAACAAAACGAAGAAUGAAGAUGCAGCAUCCAAGCAUUUUUAAGAUUAGUAGGAGUUGAAUCAUUAUUCUGAUUCUGAAAGUGACGAUGAACACAUUGAUUGACAACAAAACGAAGAAUGAAGAUGCAGCAUCCAAGCAUUUUUAAGAUUAGUAGGAGUUGAAUCAUUAUUCUGGUAUGAAUGAUUAUGUUGUUUCAGUUCUUCUGAAAGAUUCCACUCAGAGAAGAUCUAUGCUAUAUUGUUCCGCUCCCUGUGCAGAUGGACAUUGACAAUGGCAUGCACUUAUGUAUGUCCACACUUCAAUCUCCCUGUGUAAGCUAUAAGUUUUUGUUAAAAGUACUCGUAAGAAGUUUAUAAUAUACCAAUGCUUAUAAGAACUUCGCUGUUGAAGGGUAUAUAAUCAAAAUGUGAAACAGACAUGUUUAGCAGAUUGGUAGUAACUGUAGAGGGAUUUAUCGAUGGUCUGUGUUUUAGCUGACACAAUGCACCACUAAUAAUUUCUCAUCACAUCCCAUAUAUCAUUAUACAUUAGUUGUAAAAACCAGGGUCAUUGUUUCAGAUUUUCAAUUGUCAAUCUUUUUAUGAUGUUAACUCCAUGGGCUAGCUGCUGUUUUCUCACUGCAGGAGAAUCUCAAAUGCAGAAAAACACCAUACUGGAAACUUUACAAUCCCG